rnacentral:lncRNA from 1 species
GCUAGGGCUAGGGUUAGGGUGAGGGACCCCUAGGGUUCGUAGGGUAUGGAGUGGUUGAAAGUGUGUCUCCUGUUAGACUCCAUUGAUUUGUGACGUGAGAGGGGUUUUGGAUUUGCUUGUCUUCAAUGGCAGCUUCAUGGUUGUGGUGGUUUCGACAUGCAUUGAUGAAUGUCUUAAUUCAUUGUUUGUGUUUGUGGGCGCA